rnacentral:rRNA from 1 species
AUACGUAGGGUGCAAGCGUUAAUCGGAAUUACUGGGCGUAAAGCGUGCGCAGGCGGUUUUGUAAGACAGUGGUGAAAUCCCCGGGCUCAACCUGGGAACUGCCUUUGUGACUGCAAGGCUAGAGUACGGCAGAGGGGGAUGGAAUUCCGCGUGUAGCAGUGAAAUGCGUAGAUAUGCGGAGGAACACCGAUGGCGAAGGCAAUCCCCUGGGCCUGUACUGACGCUCAUGCCCGAAAGCGUGGGGAGCAAACAGGAUUAGAUACCCUGGUAGUCCACGCCCUAAACGAUGUCAACUGGUUGUUGGGUCUUCAUUGACUCAGUAACGAAGCUAACGCGUGAAGUUGACCGCCUGGGGAGUACGGCCGCAAGGUUGAAACUCAAAUGAAUUGACGGGG